CUCCGGGCCUCUCCGCAUCAUGCUCCCUUCGUCGUGGGGAUACAUCCUUUUGACGGAGAGCGGCCUCCUCACGCCCACGUUGGUUGUCGUGCCUGGGCGGGGGCCUGUUCGCCUGGGGCGAAUCAUGUCUGUCUCUAAUGGGUUCCUGUCGGGAACGUUGUGCAUAGUCUCUACAAUCCGCUGUGUUAUGCCCGUAGGACCUAUGGUGUACACAGUAUCCUGGGGGGUUCGGAUUUGACCUAUUUCUAGGUCCAGAGCCUCGACCUCUCCCCCCUACGGGGCAUCUCCUGAGCCCCCAUCUGAUGGGGGUUAGUAAUUGGAUUGAUAUCUUCAUAUGCCAAGGUGGGAACCGCAUUCAAAGUGGUGAUGGCAAGUGCUUGACCAAAGUUCUCAUUCCCGGCCUGGUUCAUCUGGUAACCCAUCAGGUGGGAGGUCGGGCCUCUACCGCACUGUCUUUGAGGAGGCGGGAGGCCUCUAUUUGCCUUGUUCCUAUGCUCAAUCAAUUCUUCAUUGAUGAUCUCCCUUCUCAUCAUUUCGAGUAGGGCGUCAUAGGUGGUGGGGUCUUGAUUAUGCACAUCUCUCCAAAAUAAGGUAUUCAUGCUCAAACCUCCCCUUAGUGCGGAUAGUGCCUCUCGGUCGCUGACUUGAACGCAGUACGUCAUCUCAUCGGUGAAGCGUGAUAAGAAGCUCUUUAAGGACUCCCCAUGUGCUUGCCUCAUGUCCUGGAGACGUUGGAUGGGGGCUUCUCCUUCUUUGCUCACUGCGAACCUCUUCAAGAAUGUUGUCUUGAACUCGGGCCAGCUUCUAAUGCUCCCAGGUGACAAUCUGCUAUACCAAAUUUCAGCCGCUCCACUAAGCGUUAAAUGGAAGGCUCUGCACUUCAC
rnacentral:lncRNA from 1 species